AAAGUGGCGAGACCAUGAGUUGGAACUUGUUGAAGUUGUUGCAGAUCAGGUUGCUGUUGCUUUGUCACAUGCUGCUAUUCUGGAAGAGUCUAUGCGGGCACGUGNNNNNNNNNNNNNAUGGUGCUUUGAAAUCAGCUCGUCAAGAGGCAGAAAUGGCAAUUCAUGCUCGUAAUGAUUUCCUUGCUGUGAUGAACCAUGAAAUGAGGACACCGAUGCAUGCAAUUAUUGCAUUGUCUUCACUUCUUUUAGAGACCGACCUAACUCCAGAACAAAGAGCAAUGAUUGAGACAGUACUAAAGAGUAGUAACCUUUUGGCAACACUUACUAAUGAUGUUUUAGAUCUUUCUAGACUUGAAGAUCGCAGCCUGGAGUU
rnacentral:misc_RNA from 1 species